rnacentral:rRNA from 1 species
UACGGAGGGUCCAAGCGUUAUCCGGAAUCAUUGGGCGUAAAGGGUGCGUAGGCGGGUCUUUUAAGUCAGGGGUGAAAUCCUGGAGCUCAACUCCAGAACUGCCUUUGAUACUGAGGAUCUUGAGUUCGGGAGAGGUGAGUGGAACUGCGAGUGUAGAGGUGAAAUUCGUAGAUAUUCGCAAGAACACCAGUGGCGAAGGCGGCUCACUGGCCCGAUACUGACGCUGAGGCACGAAAGCGUGGGGGAGCAAACAGGGAUUAAGAAACCCUU